CCAAAAUAUUUGGGAAGUCUCGGCUUCCGGGAUUUGAAACUUUUUAACCUUGCUUUAUUAGCACGGCAAGCGUGGAGAUUACUUCAGAAACCCUCCUUACUGAGUGCAAGAAUUCUAAAAGCAUCCUACUACCUGAAGGGAUAAAUUCUUACAGCCGAACUUGGAUUUCGCCCCUCUCAACUGUGGCGUGCUAUUCUAGAUGGUAGGGAAAUUAUGAAGCAAGGGACCAUAGGAGGAUUGGUAACGGGCAGUCAAUGGUCGUUUGGUCUGAAAAACUAG
rnacentral:rRNA from 1 species